CCAUAGUGAACAUACCUCUCGUUGCCUCGGCGGGGAAGGGGAAUCACCGAUCAGCCUCAGGGUUGAGGGGCUACCCGGGUAUCACUACCCUGUAGCUCCAGGUGACCUCCGUCGCCGCCGCUGGCCCGCGAAACUCUGUUUUAUUUUGCAACUCUGAAUCUUGAAACAAAUAAGUUAAAACUUUCAACAACGGAUCUCUUGGUUCUGGCAUCGAUGAAGAACGCAGCGAAAUGCGAUAAGUAAUGUGAAUUGCAGAAUUCAGUGAAUCAUCGAAUCUUUGAACGCACAUUGCGCCCAUUAGUAUUCUAGUGGGCAUGCCUGUUCGAGCGUCAUUUCAACCCUUAAGCCCUGUUGCUUAGCGUUGGGAGCCCGCUGGCCUCUGGCCUGCAGCUCCUCAAAGGUAGUGGCGGAGUUAGUGCAUACUCUAGGCGUAGUAAUCUUUAUCUCGCCUCUGUAGUUGCGCUGGCGCCUGCCGUAAAACCCCUAAUCUUUCAACGGUUGACCUCGGAUCAGGUAGGAAUACCCGCUGAACUUAAGCAUAUCAAUA
rnacentral:rRNA from 1 species